UCUAAGGGGAUGAUAACUGUUUCCACUAUGUGGAGUAACUAACGCUCGUGCCUGAUAUCUGAUGCAAUUGCAACAGCUAUGAACAAGUUUAGCGCUGCGUUGUGCCAGGAGACAGCAUGCCCCCUCCGAAGUUGAGGUAACCUGCGCAUUACUCUCCUCUGUGUGACCGGGCUGCACCAGGCGUGGGGGUCCGUCAUCUGAUCAAGCUGCGAUGGAGGUGGCUAUGGAGGUGGAGGUGGUGGUGCGAUGGAGGUGGCUAUCUGGUCGUGUGACGAAGCUGGAACGAUCUCGUGUGGCCAAGCUGGGGCUGUCUCGUCGUGCGGCGAAGCUGGGACGUUCUCGUCAUGUGACCAAGCUGGGACUGUUUCGUGGGACCGAGCUGUGCUGGAAGCAGCUGUCUCGUCAUGCGGCGAACCUGGGGUGUUCUCGCCGUGCGACCAAGCUGGGGCCGUCUCGUGGGACCGAGUUGCGCUGGAGGUGAAGAUGCCCUAGCAAGACCAAGUGACGACAGUCUCGUACGCGGAGCCUGCGUUGUGGGCUGGCGGCUUGUCACGUGACCAAGCUACGGCGCUCUCGUCCCGUCACUGCGCCGUGCUGUAGGUGACGAUCUUGUGUUAGCAAAUAGCGGUGGUCUGGCGUGACCGGGCCGCGUUGGCCGCGACGGGCCUGUCGUCUGGCGGCCCCGGCAGCCGAGUGCUGCUGCUGUGUAGAGAGCGUCUGGGCUGGGGUUUGAGGUGUGGGGCGCGCGCCCCUACCCGCUACGCGCACACUCCAUGAACUGUGCGCGUUCAUGGCAUGUUGGAUCUGAACAAGGUAGCGGAGGUGGGCUGUGCCACCCUGUCAGUGCACGCACGUGCGUCGUCUGUGUGGCGUUGUAGCGUCAGACCCGCCGAUUUAAAAGAUCGCGAACGCGGGAGACUGGUAAGCGUUUCGACGCGUGUUGUGCCUUGUCAAAAGGGAUGUUUUGUGUAAAGAAGGUUUCUCAGUUCGUCGUUUAUGCUGCCUGAAGCCUCAUAAAGAUGUCGGCCAUCAUUUUUAUGUGAGCUGCCUGAUAAACAUUCUAUAUCGCUUCUAUAUCAGGUAUUUUCAUGGUCGCCUCAUGACAUGCCAUAGUUUGAAUGAAUCAGACGACGUUUUGUCUUCGCUUUCGAUUUUUAUUAUCGUGUGGGUGGGGCGUGCGUGUGAGUCCGACGUGCUUUUAGCGCUCGUCGGAAGACCUUCUCGGGGUAUACUGCUGAGACGCCGGCGUUUGUCGAGCGCGGCCGUGACUAUCGAGGCCUUUGAGGCUUAGAGGCUUUGGUCUAAUUUCAUUUUGUUUGGGAGACAGUGGCCGAGUGCAUUGAUAUGUCACCUGGACUGAUAUAAAUUCGAAUGUGUG